AUCUGCAAAAUCUACUCUUUCAGCUGUACAAAAUAUUGAAGUGAAAAGCACUAAAUAAAAAGGUGGAGGGAGCAAUAUUGAAAUUUUAUAAAGCUGAUGUAUUUGAGCAAAAUGCUAUCAACUUCACAAUAAACAUCAAAUGUCAAUUGUUAAGGUGGAGAAAGGGAAUGGAAAAGCACAUAGCUGGCAACUUGGCAGCGCUCAGGUGUUUGGAUUUCUUAGUUCGCUACGAAAUCUUGAAAACAGUCUUCUACUCAGGAACUUCGGAAAGAUCGACAAUGUGAUGGCAGCAUCUUUCUUCUUGGCGGCUUCUGUUUGUCCAAGGAAAGAGAAAGCAAAAACGUAGUGAAUUCCGACACAGACUCAAGGAUGAAGAAGAUUGGCCAAGAUAUAAGUAACGUUGAAUUUGGUUAGGCCCUCUCCUUGACCGCUGCUAGUCUUUGCUGCCACUGCUGCCUUCACAGUCAUAGCAAGCGAUCCUGGUAUCCUCUAAGAUUUUAUUGUUCCAGUGAUUUCCACCCGUCAAUGGCAACUUCUUCACCUACUCUGGAGUCCGUGGAGUUCUGUACCAUCUUCCCACAAAUUUUACUGUCACAAAAGAUGGUGUAACAGAGUUCCCGGCUCAGAUGGGCAAAGUGUCUCACUUGCUGU